CUCCGACAAUAUUUGCUUUUGAAAGGCUUGAAGUCCGCGGACCCCGGCACUCUCGCAGCUGACCUAAUCUUACCCUGAUGAUGAGUGGAGUUCUGCCUGGAGGUGAAGAUUCGAACCAAAGCAAUAAUUGUUCUUUAGGUAAACCUCAGCGGUUAGCAACUCUCCAGUGCCCCACAAUGAUGAAUGGAGAGUUGGACCUCUCCGGCGCCAUUCCUAAGUUCGGUUUGCCUGCUUGUAAAAGAUGUGCUUUGCAAAGUGCUUUAUACAUAAUUAACUUAAAGCCAGAAUCUCGAAGAUGUCAAAACCACCCACUGAAGUAAAUUAUUUUCCAAGUGACAUAGACCUCAAAGAAGGAGAUUUGUUUUCAUCUCACCUUCUCACCCUCCAUGAGCGGCAGCUGUAUUAUAGACCACGGGACUUCCCAUGGAGUCACUGUUCUAGGAGGAGAACCUAGCUGCGGUGGUGACCUCGUCGUUGGAAUUCGUUUCAAAAUUGACACUCCAGGGGAACUUUCCACAUGUCCCACCUCCCAGGCACAGUACACACUUCUAAAACUCUCAAAGACAUUAUUUAUAACAGUGUCUGACAAAUGGUGGCAUUGCACCAAAACGUGUAGCUGUGGAUUUUCCUCUCGUUGGCUGUAUUUGCAAUUCGGAGCCUCCCAGGCACAUGGCAAAGCCCUACUUCUUACGUGAGCCAAGAAAUUUCAUCAAGCCAAUGCUGCUUAAAGGAACUGAGAAUCGAGGACCGUGUUUACACAA